ensembl:lncRNA
CUGGGAAGAUGAUGAUCAUCAGUGGGUACGUGCAGUCUCUGCACUAUAUUCCCAACUUCGUUACAUUUUCACUAAUAGGGCUCGCAGGACGCCGCCGUGGCCAGAUGCAGCUAUUGAUGCAUGUCCUAGUGUUGAUUUUUUUUUUAAUUGGAUGAAGAGAUUUGAUAUUAAGAACUAUGGUUACUCUCUUUGCCUUUUCGAGGUGGGUUUUAUGAAAUGUUACUUCACUCUUCGCACCGAUUCUUUCCUAAAAAGGAGACACUUGGCCCGAGGUGCUGUUUAACAGUGCUUGGAUACCCAUGCUGCUCCAGCUGAAGUUGUCUUUUAUUUUGCUGAAGAAACAGAGGAGAAGACUGAGCCAUUUGUCUCCUCUAUUAGGAACUUCUCUGUGACUUUUUAUUGUUGCUAUUGUUGAGCGAGCCCAAACAGCGAGAAACAAUCUGGAAAUUGCAAUUGUCGCUGGAUGCUGUGUCAAAGAAGAGCCCAUCAAUCUCAGAAGAAAUUUUAAGGGAACAGGUUUUUCAUGCCUCUGCGCUGGUAGGAAGCCAAGAGUGUGUUGCCAUUUGAUGGUAAAAUCAGUGUACACCUGUUCCAACCAGCUGGCAACAUAACCUAUGUCAGAGGGAGAUGUCACAGCCCAAACUGCCGCCGGCGGCUGCGUGACAGCCAGGGACGACAGAGAAAGGAACUUGGGGACCGAAAGAGGAGGAGACUGCAGUGCCAUUUCAGGGACACAGAUGUGUGAAGAGUGUGAUAAAAGAAGGAAACAUCGGAGGGAAUAAGCUCAAACAAAAAAGCAAAUGUCAUUUGCAUGAUGUAAUUAUGGACGGCCAUUGACUGCAUCGUAAUAACACUCAGUAGGGCAAUGUUAAGCCUACUGUGAGUGCUAAAAAGGCCUCAGCUUGAAAAAAGGCUGAGGAGCCUCCAUACCAAGGUGCACACACACAACAGAUCACUCUGUGGUUGCAGGUAUAAACAAGCUGAGCUGAUGGAGUAUCUCUACGAACUGGAGAGGAUGUGCCUGGCAGAGUCUGCAGGUACUUGAGGUAUGGUGUGCAGGGAAUGCUCUGCCCAUGCAGGCACAGCAGUAGGGAAAGCACUGCAUACCAAGGAGCCAUUCCAGCGUGUGCUCCCUCAGUAUUAAGAUCUCUCCAGGAUUUCUGUAUCUGGUAAUAUUGCUCUUGUUUCAAAUUCUUCUCACAGUUUCAAGGGAAAAUUCUUUGUGACAAACGCUGUUGAUUUAAAACUAAUGUUUAGCCAGAAAUGGGUAAUUGUAUUAGACCAAAAAAAAAGCUGCUGUAAAAUCGGCCCCAGUCUGAUUUUUAAUUUACUGCAUCAUCAGCUACUUUUAUGAUACUAUUUAAUCUGCUGAAAUAAAACUAUUGCUCUAUGAAUGUCUCUGACGUUCAAGGAAGAUUGUUUUUAGCCAUUCUGCUCUUGGGCCCAGGAGCUGUUAAUUAUUCUACAAAUUAUUCCCACAAAUGCAUUUAUUUACAUUUGUUUUAAUUGUCACAAUGCUCAGAGAAGUUAUGUUUUACUGUGAAGUCGUUUUUAACCCUUGCAGAGGGAAAAGGGACAGUGCCCAUCACUGCUUCACACUGGUUGGGAAUCCUCCUAGCUCCUUUUGCCUUUCCAUGGAAAAACAACUCCCAGCAAUGCCAAAACAAAGCCCAGCAGAGCCAAAACAUUUCCCCAUGCUUUUCCCAUGAGUACAGCCGGGUGCAGCAUUGGCUUUUGCCUCCUCUGGGGUGAAGAAAUCAACCCCAAGGACCUGUUCCAAACCCAUAAUUGCCUACAGCACAGCCCUACUGGGUACAGCGGCUCUGGGGCUGUGUUCCUGCACAGACUGCAGGCUAACGUCAGGCAAAUCAUAAAAAAUAAUUCUGCUUUUUCUUGGCUAUUAACUUCCUCCAGAAAUAGUGAGAAUGGAGGUGAUGCAAUUGAACUCCCUGGAACAACGGACUGCCAGGUGAGAAAAUCGUGCCUCCCACUUUGGGUGAAAAAGAUUACCUCCUUCAAAAAAUAUCUACCGCAACACAUAAUCCACCCAAAACCACACUUAGUUUGAAAUAAGAAUGAAGCCUGUUGACUGUUCUCUGCUCUUUUCAGUGAACAGCAGCAGCUCUCAUAAAGAUUACCUGUGGGAUAAAUGGAUGCAGUGGGAGGAAAAAGGCUCCGGGUGUGACCAACAACGUACAUCUGUGGCACACGAGCUGCUGGAUUUCAAUAUUCCUCAUCCAUUUGUAUUGCAGCAUUAGGUUUACUGGCCCUGCUAAACACCUGGGCACCUGCCUGCACCGGUGGUAGAAGCAGACUGUUGUCAGAUCUGUUACAGACAAUCAAGUGAUGGUUACAAGACAAAAUACGGUAAAACAAAUAGUUCUUAAUGCUGCGCAACCACCUCUUGUUUCAUCCAAACAACGUCUGUUUGGUUAUUUCCUUACGGUCGAAUGCCUUCUCCCUGGGCAGACAGCAGAAGUCUCUUUUUACCUCGGUAAUUAGCUUGUUUGAAAGCUCCCACAAAUUCUUCCUAUCAUAAAUUUUGCAUUGCUCCACGCACAAUAAUGCACAUAAAAUUAAAUAAACAAUUUAAUUAAUUUGAUUAAAAUUAAAUAUUAAACAUAUUGUGUAUAAGAAGCCCGUGUCUUUGAUUUAAUUGGGCAGGAGUACCCAAAGCAGUUUGGGUAACAGUGAAAAAUAAUUAAAAACAACAAGUACGGUCGCCUCUGGGUACGAAGAGUAGUUGGGAGCUUUCUCCUGAGAAAGGUUUAUUUAAUUAAAACUAAACUAAUCUUUGGAAAACACUUGAUAAGCAUUUCAUAAUACAAAUCAUAAUCCAAAAAUGAAGCUUAUACUUCGCCUACGUGAUACAGGAAAAUAACAUUAAAUAAUUCAGUUCUGCCACCAGCCACUUUCCUAGCACAGAAUAAUUCAGCAGAGAGCAUGUUUACCACCUUUACAUUUUCUGUACUGUUUAGUUCAUCUGGAUAUUUAUUGGUAAAUUAUAGGAAGGCAUAAUGGGUCCGUGAGCGAUAAGGCUGAGGGUUAAUGCUCUAUUUGGACUGGUUAUUGCCUCUCGUAGCUGUGACACCAGGCUGGCAUCGAAUCCCCAACCAGUUCUUGAAUGACACCUUUCCAAGGUAGAGAAUAUUACUUCCAGCAUCUCCCACCACCAGAGUAGGAAUGGAUUAUUUAUAAGGUGGUGUCUCUAUCAAUACAUCCUGCUGCCGAAUGAUUGCAUUUCUGAUACCGUGCGGUGAGCACUGCAGCUCUCUGCAACAUUUGGACCCUUCCCAACGUGGCCAACCACGGCCAGGCACCCAGCUGGCUGCCCUGCACUGACGGGUUUAUAGGGCAUCUCAAAAACAAAUGCUUCAUUCUGACACCUGGACAGCAGCAGACUCUCCAACAAACUCCAACAGGGCACUGAUGUCAAGCGGAUCUCUAAAAAACGAUUGUGCCCAAAGAGAUCCUAAUUGACGCUCUCAAGCAAGUGCCCUGCAUAACUGAGUGUCCCUCAGGUUGCACAGAGCAGCUUUAAAGGGAUCGUAUAAUUUUGGUGACCUCAGAGUACGAUGCCAGUGGGCUCCAGCACGUGGAUGGACACGGCCCCUUCUGCUGCCUGGAUCUGCUGGGCAACCCAGGUUGUGCUUUGUGAGAGUUUUUCCUGGGAAGAGGCUGUUAGCCGAUGCGGAGUUUCUUCAGUUCCUCUCCCACCCCCAGCUUUGAGCAGAGGACGCAGCGAUUUAUCAGGAGUUUCUGCCUAACAGAGGUACAAAGGGGCCCUGUACGGGGUGUGGGAAUUUCCCGCAUGUUGAUGAACCUCCUACUGUAAAAGACUGUAGACCAAAUCCUUCAGUCCUCACACAGACAAAAGUCCACAUCGACUUACCCCAAAUCUCCCUACAAACACCCAUUCAAGUCAACGGUGUUUUGCCUGGGCAAAGGCUGGGGGUUUGGCCCCAUGGUUGUCGCUGCAACUGGGCAUCAGCAGAAAGGGAUUUACCACAGCACCAAGCCCCAGCACUGUGUCCUGGCUCCCCUACAGCCCCAAACACGGUACAGCCACCAACCCUUGUCCCUGCAUUGCCAUCCAUGGGGACAGCCACCGUGCCCCUGUCCUGUCUAUGGGAGGACAUAGCCCGUAAGGAAGGAACAUCCAGAAAAUAAUAGAAAUGUAACAACGAAAAAGGAAAGUGGGCCCGUUUUUAUUUGCUUGUUUUGGCCGUAUCAUAGCUCAGCCCUUCCUCGCCAUCGUGGUUCAAUAUUUACUGAUCGAAAGUAUAGACCGGCUGCGAGGCACAGAGAUAGCGAUUAUCAUCAGAAAGCAACGGGCACUAAAAGAAUGGCUCUUCCAUUUCCAGAAUGUAAAACAGACAUUCAGAAGAACAAACAGAGCAGGGAAGAAACGACGGUCAUUUGCAAGUAAAAUAUUACCAAACAAUAUAACAUUGGAUUAACUGUUUCAUGUAUUUAUUGUGGAGGAAUAUAUAGAACUUUACAUGAGAAACUCGCGGUACAAGCAAGAAACAAAGCAGCCUUUUGAACAGCCGCCUUUUAACUUCGGAGCUCCUGUGCAUGCAGCACAAGGGCUGCUCCCACCGAAGCAGCAGCUCUGAUUGAGUUCAGGAUUGGGCCCCAUGGUUUUAAACUUUCCUCCUGCAACGUCCCUUUUGGUAACAUUGCAAGCCCCCCAGCCUAGGUACGUCGAUGUGCUUUAGACAGGAACGUGUGAGAUGGCAAAAAGGCAGCAAAGAUGCACUGUGGGGCUGAUGCUGAAGACUGCAAGAAAAGGAGAAAAGAAAGAAAAGGAGGAGAGGAUAAAGGGAAAGCAACACGCAGGGAGUCCAAUCCUGCACCAGUGAGAAGCAAAGCACUGAGCCUGCAGCACGGCAGUGCGCUGGGUGCACUGGACAUGACCUGCCCCCAUUUCUGCCCUUUGUUACGGUGUGCUGGGAAUGCUGGAGUGCAGGGUGUGCUGCUCGGGGCCACACUGUACUCCUUGGAGCUGUGGGGUUCCAAACAUUGGGGCGGCUCUACGCUCUGCCUUUAUACAUUUUCUCCCUUCUGGCGUUGUCUGAAAUGCUCACAUAACUCCUGCAAAUUGCUAUGUGAAUUUGUGGCUACUUCACGACUUUUUCGUAAGCUCAGCAACAUGUCAAACUGUGCCUGGGUCCCAUUGUAAAGGGCAGAACCUGUGCAGAAACAGCAACACAAAAAGAGCCGCAGUGCUCGGGCUGAUCACUUCUCCCUGCAAGCACAACAGCCAGCCACUGGGAUAAGGAAAGCACAGCAUCAGAGAUGCACCAGAUCAGGGCGAGAGGUUUCAGGCUGGGUUAGCACAACCUUUGCUCUGCUUGAUACCGGGGGCCGGGCUGGGUGACUCAAGGAGUUGUCUGCAAGUCCGUCUGUGUUCUGUGCACAGAGAACAGCUGUAUUUAUUUGAGGUGCUCAAUUUCUCCAUGUAAGCACACUCUGUCAUAAUUAAGUGAUUGUCUAAGCUUUUAAGCUGCUCGGAAGCAGAUUCUGAAGUCCUGCUUUACUGUCAGCUUCAUACAUGUGGAAUUCCUAUGGAACCCAAGGGCACAGGCAUGGGUAACUUUGAUUCUGGGAAUUCUUACUGCUGGAGCAGGAAAAAGCUGAAAGAAAGGAGUCCUUAAACAAGAAAACCACCAGCAGGACUGAGACUCUAAUAUGUGGUAAUAGCACUAAUGACCUCAUUCAUGUUCAGCCACAUACAUGUGGAGUUUUGCUCCUCGAUGUGAACACAGUCAUACGGAGCUGUGUUUUCACAGCUCAGCCUCCCAAGCCCCAUCCUGCUGCCACUGAAAGCCAUGGCAGAGCUCCCAGCUUCUCCACUGCUAUCAGAUUAGCUUCGUUUCAUGGGCUGAAGCGAUCUAAUAGAUACCAGGUGGCCCUGGUAGAGCCUGUGUGGUCUACAAGUAAGUGAAACAUAUUUUAAGAAGUCAAAUAUGAAACAGCUACAUCACAGAACCUGCAAUAACCCCAGCUGGUAUUAUUAUCUAUGGAGGACACGAUCAGUAUCUAAAAUGUAACUCCAUAUAUAUUUAUAUGAUACAUCCUACAACAGCCGUGUUCUGAGGUAAACUCAGCUGCAUGUUAAACCACUGCAGAAACAGAUCCAUAUUUACGCUCAUUUCCACAAGAACACAUAGCUCUCGUGUGUUUUCACUUAAGAGAAAGAACCCAAAACAACCUUAAAUUAAUCCAGAAAUCCACUUUAAAUAUGUGAGUGGGUGUGUAAAAGGACCUACAGAAGUAAAGGCUGCAUGUGAACUGCCCUGGCUGCCGCUGCGACACUUAGCUCACCCACUGCUCCAUGUCAUGACCCCGUGCUGUGAAAUCCAUACGUGCUCCAGCAGUACAAACUGGAGGGAGAUGGGGCAGUACCUGGGCAGCACUGUGCCAUAUAUACAUAUAUCCUGUGCAAUGGGUGCUGCUGGAAAUGGAUGAAGACUUCCUCGGUGCUCUCUGCUGGUGUGGAGGUGGGGCUCAGCCCAGGUCAGGUGAAGCUCUCUGUGCUCUGCUCUGCAGCAAUGGGUGGGAAGAGCCCUGCCCACCCCAGGGCCUCACCCUGAUUCACAGCACGUGUGGAGAGUGAGCUCAGUGCUGCGUGGUUUGCCCAUAUGAGCUCCCACCACGGCUCAGUGACCCGGGAACAUGGGGGAGAUUCCAAGCAAAGCUCAGCCCACUCCAUGGAACCACCCCAAAAAAAUCAAAGCGACUGAUCAUUUUUCCAAUCCAGUUAAAGAUUCUCAGACGUGAUGAGGUCUACCAUGGUUCCAACCCAGAGGGGAUGUCUCCUGUGCUAUCUGCAUGCUGGGGCUUGGCUCCUCUGCUCUGCUCUUCCCUUGUAGUUCCCCAUCCAUAAGAGAUGGAUGCUCCAUCCCUGGAGACAUCCAAGGUCAGGCUGAAUGGGGCUCUGAGCAACCUGAUCUACCUGCAGGUGUCCCUGUUCAUUGCAGGGGAGUAAUCAGCAUUUCAUUUGGUACCCAAAAACGCAGUGCUAUCUCCUCUCUUAUCUGCUACCAGCCGUCCUCUUUCGUCGUGGAUUCGUCUCCUUAAGAAGUUCAAAUACACGCACUUUCCCGAUGAAGAUCUUGGAAAGUACGUUCAGAAGUAGCCUAUUUUAACAUUAAUCACGUUUAACAAGACUUUUACCAGAGCGGGGAGAACGCGGAACUAAUCGUUGGAAGAGCUGGUCAAGUUUAUUGCAAUGGGGAACUGUCGGGCAAUUAUGAUUUAUAUAUUCGGGGGGAGAUAAGGCGGGUAUUGUUCUCCGGUGAGAGGGGGAAAAAAAAGAAGGAAACAAGAAAACCAGGGCUGGUCUCGAAGUUAAUGGCAGUUCCUUCCCAUGCUCUUUUCACAACGGAGGGGAAAUGGUUAUGGUUAAAAGGCCGGGGGGAAGAGGGAAAAAGGAGAGAGAAAAAGGACCAAGAGAUCUGCCCCGUUAACGCCGCAGCUCCCCGCGUCCCUGUAGUGCUCUCCUGGGGAGAAGCCGAGCACAGCCCGGCGCGGUCUCGUCCCGCACAUCGGGAAAGCGCUCCGAGGGGCACCGGGAUGCGGCCGCCCCCCUCCUCCCCCCCCGCCCCGCUCCAGGGUUGUUGUGCUGCUGCUGCUGCCCGCUGCGCUCCGAACAGCCCGAGCGCGGAUGAGAAAAUGAAUAAACAAAUAAACAAAAGUUGGACUAAACUAAGACAAAGGCGAAAUGUGCUCGUGGCCCUGCUCGCCCCGGCAGCCCCGUCCCUCCAAACCACCCCUCCCACCCCUCCCCGACGGCUCCGCGGUGACGCAGGGAAGCAAGUUUUCUGCGGAUCCCCGUUCCCUCCGAGCGGACGGUGACCAUACACAAACCGACCGGAGCUCUGCUUCGUGCGGGGGUUGCUCACCUGGUGCAGUACGGAUCAGAUCCCGGAGCAAAGGACUGCAGUGCGCAGCACAGCCCGAUUCCCGAAUCACCACCACCACCCCCGUAGGGCACAGCCGCGUUACCCCGUCCACAUUCACCUUAAAUCUCUCUAAGGCAUUGGAUGAGGAGCACAGAGGUGCACCCAACGCGCCGCCCGAGGCCGCUCCGUGCCCCGCACCCGGCAGACGGUAAAAAGUUACGGAUUUGUUUUCCCGACUCACAGCUCUCCACUGUUUGCUCCGAAUUUCACCCCUUUGCCGCCCGGCAAAGCUUUCCCCGAACGGUUUGAGAUCGAACCGGGAGCGGUGGAGCCGCGUUUCGGUCCGCUCGCAGUUUAGUUGUUGUAAGACGGAAUGAAAAGGGAUCGAACCGCUGUCACCCCCGAGAUGCCGCAGCCCCGACGGGAGCCGCCUCUGCCCCCCACCGCCCAAUUCGAGACCUCACGGCCCUGGGGGGUCCCUGCAGCCCCACCACCCCCACCUUCUAGCGGCUCCGGACAGCCAAACGUGAGCGCCGGUUCGGCGAGCAGAGCUCCUACCUCCGCUCGGGCGCAGUUAGCGCCGCUUCGGACCUGACUCGACGGGGAGGGAGAGGUGCAGCGCGUGUUAACGUUCACUGUACAACACCGGGAGCUCCGCUCUCAUCGUCCCGGGACCCGCGGGGGGACCCUCCCGAGCCGCCCCGCAGCCGCUGCGCCCUUCGACGGAGGGAACGCGGAGCCGGGCAGCGCCGCGCCCGCAGCCCUGAGAGCGGCGGGGAGGAGAGAGGAGCCCUCUUGUAAAGCUCGCGGCCGUCGGAGCCCUCAAGAUAAACAUCAUUAGAAAUCAUUGUAAUUGGGAUUGUGAAAGCUGACCUCUGACCCGCCGGGCUACGUGUCACAACCGUGUCUGCUUUGAUUCCUCGAAAGGCGGCACAAAGGAACAAGCUCCGUGACAGGAGGCAGUGGGAUCUGCGGCCCGGCCCGAGGGGACCGACGGGGGGAACCGCACGUGGCCUCCCUCCCCCGUGCCUCAUUUGCAUAUGCAAAGCAGCCGGGCGCGGGGCCGCCCCGACGGCGGGACGGGGACAGGCGGGAG